rnacentral:lncRNA from 1 species
UUCAUUCUUUUCUUUUUUCACCCUGUUGUGUGUGUUAGGAGUCGGAUGUAAGACCAGCCAUUAGCAUUCCGUUUCCUGUUUGUGUUUGCUUGUUCGGAGUCUGAUGUAAGUCCAUCUAUUGGCAUUCGGUUUCCUUGGUUGUGUGUGUGUUUGGAGUUGGAUGUAAGUCCAUUUAUUGGCAUUCCGUUUCCUGUUGUCUGUUUCUGUUAACGUCUCAG